CCUACGGGGGACAGCAGUAGGGAAUCUUCCACAAUGGGCGCAAGCCUGAUGGAGCAACACCGCGUGAGUGAAGAAGGGUUUCGGCUCGUAAAGCUCUGUUGUUGGAGAAGAACGUGCGUGAGAGUAACUGUUCACGCAGUGACGGUAUCCAACCAGAAAGUCACGGCUAACUACGUGCCAGCAGCCGCGGUAAUCCGUAGGUGGCAAGCGUUAUCCGGAUUUAUUGGGCGUAAAGCGAGCGCAGGCGGUUGCUUAGGUCUGAUGUGAAAGCCUUCGGCUUAACCGAAGAAGUGCAUCGGAAACCGGGCAACUUGAGUGCAGAAGAGGACAGUGGAACUCCAUGUGUAGCGGUGGAAUGCGUAGAUAUAUGGAAGAACACCAGUGGCGAAGGCGGCUGUCUGGUCUGCAACUGACGCUGAGGCUCGAAAGCAUGGGUAGCGAACAGGAUUAGAUACCCUAGUAGUC
rnacentral:rRNA from 1 species